UAGGUCAGAAUCAUGUGAAAUACAAAAAUUUGCAACUUAUUAUGCUGCUCUAGAAACCGAUCAAUAGUUUCCGUGUUGAACUUUAUUAAUGUGUGUUACAGACUUAAAUUUGUUUCCCCCUCUAUACGACAAAAGUAUCCUACAAAACAAGAGCACCAGGACAUGCAUACAGGUAAUGUAGAAUAAGUCAGAACUCAGAGCUACAAUUAGCACCAUAUGAAUCAACAAUCUGAAUCACAGUCAACUUCUUUUACCAGACAGAAAGUAAACAUCUAGAUACAACAAUAGCUACAGAGGUACAAUGACUAACGGCUAAUCUCAAGAAUGUAUUUAGGUACAAUCAAGCUGCUGCAUUGUUUGACACAAGAACACACACAAGAUCGUUGAUAAAAAAAUUACGGUAAGGAAAAAUGUAACCAACUUCAAAUGAAAAACAAAAGGUCGAUGACUUCCUGUUUAGCAGUAACCUAAGUCAACUUCACUUGUUUUUAUGUCUUCUAUUGUAGAUCCAAAGCAAUGUUAAGAUCUUUUAGACACCCCACAUACAUAUUUUAUCAAUAGCAGUCAAAGCUGUACAUGUAUCUUUUAGUCAUAACGAGAUGCGUGUAUUUUUCAGUCAUACCCAGCAAAGCAAGCAACUUCCUAGUUACAGAAAAAGGACUUCCAUUCUUGCAGUCUGGUUCAGCCUGAAUAGAUGCAAAAGACUGGAAUAUGUCUAUGGAUGAAAUUCUUAUAGUUGUUGCAUGUAAGGAAGUGCUGCUCUGGAGUGCAUCUUCUCUAUCAUGCUUCAGGAACAGGCUAAUGAAAGAUCUGAAAUUACAACUCCAGAAGCAAAGCAUGGGCUAGGGCAAUGACAGCAUUCAACCACAAGCCCAAGCCUAUACUUAACUAGGCCCGGAUCCAUUAAACCCUAAAAGGACCAAGAAAUGGAACUAUCUGCCCUUGUAGAAUCCAGUGUCAAGGAUUGAAUCAUGGGGGAUGCCAAGCCUCAUAGAUAUCAAGUCCGAUUUCAAUAUAAGAAAGAGGUAUAUACAAAGCAAAAUGACCAUUUAUGAUCCCAGAUGGGUGAGACAUUUUGGUCUUCUACUUACAGAACAAAGCUGGCAUCAUUCUAUAUGCUGUAAAUCAUGUCCACCAGAUCAAAUUUUCAAACUAUGUGCUCAUUUCCUAAGAUCAAAUUAGAGAACAUUUUUAGACAUAGCAAAACAGUGUAUAUCUGAAGAUGCAGCAAACUAUGAAGAAAAAACGAAGACAAUGUAAUACAAGAAGAUGAUUAAGUUAAGACAGGAGAAACUAUCUGGAGUACCACUGUAAAUAAUAACUGUUUAGUACCACUGUAAAUAAUACAAAGAUGCUCUAAAAUAAAAAUACUACCCCAACUAUGAAAAAUCAACGCUGCAAUGAGAUGCGACACAAUAUCAAAGUCCAGAUUGGCCAUAGCCCAGCGCACCUUUUCAACACAACAGUUCAGUACUUUGACAAGCGCAAAAGUGUAGAUAAAAUUCAUGGACAUAUAUAACCUUAUUCAAGAAUUGAAAUGCCAAAAUCAACUAGACAUAAUCAAAUUAGACAUUCCAAGGGGCAAUUUAUGCGUUUGCUGAUAUGUGCUCAACAGUCCUAACUGAAAAUCCCAACAACAACAAAGCCUUUAGUCCCAAACAAGUUGGGGUAGGCUAGAGGUGAAACCCAUAAGAUCUCGCGACCAACUCAUGGCUCUGGCACAUGGAUAGCAAGCUUCCUAACUGAAAAUCCCAAACAAGACAAACUGCAAAAAGUUGGGAUGUACUCUAAUUAGACAGUGUACUGAUUCUAGGGACAAAAUUUCAAGGAUCAAAGUGCAGAUUGGCCAUAGCCCAGCGCACCUUUCAACACAGCAGUUUAGUACUUUGACAAGGGCAAACUGUAGAUAAAAUUCAUAGACAUAUAAUCUUAUUCAAUAAUUAAAAUACCAAAAUCAACUAGACAUAGUCAAAUUAGACAUUUCAAGGGGCAACUUACUGUCUUUGCUGAUGUGUGCUAAAUAGUCCUAACUGAAAAUCCCAACACAGACAAACUACAAAAUAAAGUGGCGGUUUACUCUAACUAGACAGGUGUACUGACUCUAGGGAUAAAAUUUCAAGGAUCAAGGUGAUGCUUAUAUGUUAAACCUUCACAAUACUAUCAAAGCAUAUGCAACACAAUGAUAAUGCACAUGAAACAUUCAAGUAGGUCAGAAUCAUGUGAAACACAAACAACAUUUGCAACAUACUAUGCUGCUCUAGGUACCAGCCAGUAAUUUCUGUGUUCACCUACUCAAGUGCAUUGUAGACUUCAAUUUGUUUCCCCGUCAUACAACAAAAGGAUCCUACAGAACAAAAGCAACAGGACGUGCAUACGGGUAAUGUAGAAUAAGUCAGAACUCAGAGCAACAGUUAGCAUCAUAUGAAUCAACAAACUGAAUCACAGUAAACUUCUUUUACCAGACAGAAAGUAAACAUCUAGAUACAACAAUAGCUACAGAGGUACAAUGAAGAACAGCUCAUCUCAAGAAUGUAUUUAAGUACAAUCAAGCUGCUGCAUUGCUUGACACACGCACGCACACACACAGGGUGGUUGAUACCAAAUUACAGUAACACAAAAUGUUAACUAACUUCAAAUGAAAAACAAAAGGGUAUGGACUAGAUACCAGUCUAUCGCAUUUGUCUUGUGAAAGCAUUUGUCCUGUAGAAGCACAUAUAACACCUGUGUAGCACUGGCAGGGAAAAGGCCGCCAGAUUUUAGUACUCAU
rnacentral:lncRNA from 1 species